rnacentral:piRNA from 1 species
UAUAAGCCACGGCAACUGUUCUCUCGCUUU